AGUGAACGCUGGCGGUAGGCCUAACACAUGCAAGUCGAACGGCAGCACAGUAAGAGCCUGCUCUUACGGGUGGCGAGUGGCGGACGGGUGAGGAAUACAUCGGAAUCUACUUUUUCGUGGGGGAUAACGUAGAGAAACUUACGCUAAUACCGCAUACGACCUACGGGUGAAAGCAGGGGAUCUUCGGACCUUGCGCGAUUGAAUGAGCCGAUGUCGGAUUAGCUAGUUGGCGGGGUAAAGGCCCACCAAGGCGACGAUCCGUAGCUGGUCUGAGAGGAUGAUCAGCCACACUGGAACUGAGACACGGUCCAGACUCCUACGGGAGGCAGCAGUGGGGAAUAUUGGACAAUGGGCGCAAGCCUGAUCCAGCCAUACCGCGUGGGUGAAGAAGGCCUUCGGGUUGUAAAGCCCUUUUGUUGGGAAAGAAAAGCAGCAGGUUAAUACCCCGCUGUUCUGACGGUACCCAAAGAAUAAGCACCGGCUAACUUCGUG
rnacentral:rRNA from 1 species